CCCGCCUCCGUUCCCUCCUCCUUCCUGGCAGCAGGAUCCGGCCGCUGCGGCCAGAAAACUGCCCCCGGCCCCCAGAAGUGCGGUCCCAUCGCGGCGGCGCCCCAAAAUGAAGUGGUUUUGGGUGGUGGCUUUUGUGGCACCCGCCUGCGCUGCGCCCUACACGGCCGGGGACACCGGGGAUGGAGGCCCCUGUGCCCUGCAGCACGGCGUCCUGGGCACGGAGGUGCUGCUGCGGUGCCCGGCUGCCGGGGGGAGACCCGCCGAGUGGCGCCGGGGGGGGGCAACCCUAGGGACGUAUCCUGCCCCGGGGCUGGCCCUCCCCAACGCCAGCCUGGUCCACGAGGGACCCUACAGCUGCCACCA
rnacentral:lncRNA from 1 species